ACGAUGGGGUUGCCAACCCUUAUCUUCUGAAACCCCAUUUUGUUGUGUAUUUGGUUGAGGUGAAAGUUGGAACUCAGAGAGGAAGAAACAACAAUUUCUACAACACCAAGAGAAAAAUGGGUCGUGUGUUAGUGUGCGUAUGAAUUGUCGUUGGAUACUUCAAUCACGUUGAAUGACGGAUUCACGUUGGAUGUGAUUUGGAAUGUUGGAAACA